UACGUAGGGUGCGAGCGUUGUCCGGAAUUACUGGGCGUAAAGAGCUCGUAGGUGGUUUGUCGCGUUGUUCGUGAAAAACCGGGGGCUUAACCCUCGGCGUGCGGGCGAUACGGGCAGACUUGAGUACUGCAGGGGAGACUGGAAUUCCUGGUGUAGCGGUGGAAUGCGCAGAUAUCAGGAGGAACACCGGUGGCGAAGGCGGGUCUCUGGGCCGAUACUGACGCUGAGGAGCGAAAGCGUGGGGAGCGAACAGG
rnacentral:rRNA from 1 species